rnacentral:lncRNA from 1 species
UGCAUUUUUGGGUCCAAAGUACAGAGUCUAACACUCCCUUGGACAGCCCUGAAGAGGUAUAAACUCUUUAUUAUCCAACCUUCCCCUUUUCUAUAUUGUUAUCAGAGACUUCCAAAAAAAUCUUGAUCAUUUCACCAACAACCCAUCUCUUACUUUGUAUGCCUUAGGUUAUAGAAUAGUGUUUCCCUGACAGUAUUAAAGUAGUCACAUCUGCUUUAUAUGGCCUGAUAACCUUUCGAGGGCAUAUUAAUCUCAUCAAUAACACGUUACAAAUCAUCUUUUAGAUAACUUCCGGGAGAGGGAUCCACAUAUGGCAAGUCACCUUCAUUUACAUUGACUGUAUCACCUUCAACUUAAAAAGGAAAUAUUCUGUUGAGAGAUACUUAGGUUUGUUUCUAGUUUCUGGGUCAGGUAACUUCCAGGCAUGGCUGAAAUCAGAGCUGCAAUGGAUUUGGAUGGCUCUUCUGCGUCAUUUGGUGGAUCAGAAACAGAAUUGGAGCUAUUUUAUCUGGACCUAAUUAAACAACCUUCAUUACCAGCAGAUAUAUGUUUGUGACUUAAAAUUAGCAUGAUUGGAAUUAAAACUCAAAAUAUAAGGCAUUGAAUUCAGAUAUGGCUGGUUUAAAAAUAAAUUCCAUACAUUUUAAAUGCA